CCCGUUGCUCCCGUAUCUGUGGUACAGCCUGUUUGGUGCAACGACUUCUACUACAAAAUCCGGGGAUGAUAUUUAUCAUCCUUCGGUUUCGGUUUCUAACAUAUAUCCGGAGCUGACGUAUUCCGAUAUCCAGAUACGACUUGAGCACCGUCAAGUCCGAUUGGCUGUUUUGAAUCAUUUGAAUGAUUCUUCUGAGGAAGAUUGAUUUGCUUUCCGUCGGUGUGCUUUUUUUUUUUCACUAUGGUUUUGUUUUUGUUCUUGUUUUUGUUUUUUUUGUUUUGUUUUAAGUACUGAUUGGAAAUAAAAUCCUUUACUAGA